rnacentral:rRNA from 1 species
GACGAACGCUGGCGGCGUGCUUAACACAUGCAAGUCGAACGGUGACGAGGAGCUUGCUCCUCCGAUCAGUGGCGAACGGGUGAGUAACACGUGAGUAACCUGCCCCAGACUCUGGGAUAACAGUUGGAAACAGCUGCUAAUACCGGAUACGAGACGGAGAGGCAUCUCUACCGUCUGGAAAGUUUUUUCGGCUGGGAUGGACUCGCGGCCUAUCAGCUUGUUGGUGAGGUAAUGGCUCACCAAGGCGACGACGGGUAGCCGGCCUGAGAGGGCGACCGGCCACACUGGGACUGAGACACGGCCCAGACUCCUACGGGAGGCAGCAGUGGGGAAUUUUGGACAAUGGGCGCAAGCCUGAUCCAGCCAUGCCGCGUGCAGGAUGAAGGCCUCGGUUGUAACUAGCUUUUGUACGGUAACGAAAAGACACUCUCUAAUACAGGGGUAGGAAUAGACGGUACGUAACGAAGUAAAGACACCGGCUAACUAACGUUGCCAGCGAGCCGCGGUAAACCGU